CUAUAUGACGAAACGAGGCACGAGAGGUAGAGUGGGAGACGUAGAGUACAGGCCAUGAUAUAGCGAAUCUCUCACAUUGAGGAAGUAAAGACUCAUUCAUAGUCACACGAUACUUCGGCAAAGCCGUGAUAAUAUUCCUAGAAAAAGAGUGGUAGUGAUGGAGUCAAGUAUGUUGCAAAUAUGGCCAGUAGUUUAGUCAAGUAGCAAAUAAAACCGAAUUUACACUGUGUGGUUUCACAAUGGAUGAUUCAUCGAAAAACAUCAUUGUCGUCCUCCUCGUUCCAUCCGCAAUGAUUCUCCAAGGUUCGUUGAGCUCGCGAAGGUGCGACGAUCUUGGCAAAAAGAGACCUCAAGAGGAAUUUCUCCGAACAACAUCGAAUAGUGCGCGACAAUGAAAGG